GCUCUUUAGAGCCAAGUUGUGUGACACCUGAGAAAAUUCCCUUCACCUUCUUUUUGGACCCAAAGUGGUGCGGCCGUGUGGGAACAUCUGCCUCGUGGCCGUGGAUCAAAUGUUAGCCAAUUUUUUAAAAAAAUCAAUCUAGCCCUCAGGCUAUCCCCAGGAAUGGCUGCAGGUUCACAGGUUCUGAAGGUUGUUUCCGACAAGAUGCUCCACCUACAGUUUCUGCAGAAAACCAAGUCUCCUCUGGACCUUUCUCCACAUGGUAGCGGCAAUGGUCUCUUAAAGAUAUAAAUCAGACCUGG
rnacentral:lncRNA from 1 species